GCUCCGGUGGCCUAGUGGUAAGAGCGUCCGCAUCGGAUGCAAGAUCUCGUGGGUUCGAUCCCCGGUCGAGUCA